CCUUACUGUUAAAAUGUACAGCUGAACGAGCCUGAUCCCGUCUGAUCUUGGAAGCUAAGCAGUGUCGGGCCUGGUUAGUACUUGGAUGGGAGACCUCCUGGGAAGACCAGGUACGAUAGGUG
rnacentral:rRNA from 1 species